GCGUGGUAGGAGAGCGUUCUGUAAGCCUGUGAAGGUGUCUUGUAAAGGAUGCUGGAGGUAUCAGAAGUGCGAAUGCUGACAUGAGUAGCGAUAAAGGGGGUGAAAGGCCCCCUCGCCGUAAGCCCAAGGUUUCCUACGCAACGUUCAUCGGCGUAGGGUGAGUCGGCCCCUAAGGCGAGGCAGAGAUGCGUAGCUGAUGGGAAGCAGGUUAAUAUUCCUGCACCGUCGUAUGAUGCGAUGGGGGGACGGAUCGCGGAAGGUUGUCCGGGUGUUGGAAGUCCCGGUCCCUGCAUUGGAGAAGGCGCUCAGGCAAAUCCGGGCGCGGGAUUCAAGGAUGCGGGGCGAGCGGCCUAGUGCUGCGAAGCAAUUGGAAGUGGUUCCAAGAAAAGCCUCUAAGCUUCAGUCAUACGAGACCGUACCGCAAACCGACACAGGUGGGCGAGAUGAGUAUUCUAAGGCGCUUGAGAGAACUCGGGAGAAGGAACUCGGCAAAUUGGUACCGUAACUUCGGGAUAAGGUACGCCCUGGUAGCUUGACUGGCCUGCGCCAGAAGGGUGAAGGGGUUGCAAUAAAAUGGUGGCUGCGACUGUUUAAUAAAAACACAGCACUCUGCAAACACGAAAGUGGACGUAUAGGGUGUGACGCCUGCCCGGUGCCGGAAGAUUAAAUGAUGGGGUGCAAGCUCUUGAUUGAAGUCCCGGUAAACGGCGGCCGUAACUAUAACGGUCCUAAGGUAGCGAAAUUCCUUGUCGGGUAAGUUCCGACCUGCACGAAUGGCGUAACGAUGGCCACACUGUCUCCUCCCGAGACUCAGCGAAGUUGAAGUGUUUGUGAUGAUGCAAUCUCCCCGCGGCUAGACGGAAAGACCCCAUGAACCUUUACUGUAGCUUUGCAUUGGACUUUGAACCGAUCUGUGUAGGAUAGGUGGGAGGCUUUGAAGCGUGGACGCUAGUUCACGUGGAGCCGUCCUUGAAAUACCACCCUGGUUUGUUUGAGGUUCUAACCUUGACCCGUGAAUCCGGGUCGGGGACAGUGCAUGGUAGGCAGUUUGACUGGGGCGGUCUCCUCCCAAAGUGUAACGGAGGAGUUCGAAGGUACGCUUGGUACGGUCGGACAUCGUACCUAAAGUGCAAUGGCAAAAGCGUGCUUAACUGCGAGACCGACAAGUCGAGCAGGUGCGAAAGCAGGACAUAGUGAUCCGGUGGUUCUGAAUGGAAGGGCCAUCGCUCAACGGAUAAAAGGUACUCUGGGGAUAACAGGCUGAUACCGCCCAAGAGUUCAUAUCGACGGCGGUGUUUGGCACCUCGAUGUCGGCUCAUCUCAUCCUGGGGCUGUAGCCGGUCCCAAGGGUAUGGCUGUUCGCCAUUUAAAGAGGUACGUGAGCUGGGUUUAAAACGUCGUGAGACAGUUUGGUCCCUAUCUGCCGUGGGCGUUGGAAUCUUGACGGGGGCUGCUCCUAGUACGAGAGGACCGGAGUGGACGUACCGCUGGUGUACCUGUUGUCUCGCCAGAGGCAUCGCAGGGUAGCUAUGUACGGAAGAGAUAACCGCUGAAAGCAUCUAAGCGGGAAACUCGCCUGAAGAUGAGGAUUCCCUGGCGGCUUGACCGCCUUGA
rnacentral:rRNA from 1 species